AGAGAGGUGUCUGAGUGGUCGAAAGAGCUACCCUGGAAAGGUAGUAUAUGGGUAACUGUAUCGAGGGUUCGAAUCCCUUCCUCUCUGCGA
rnacentral:tRNA from 2 species